GCCUCCUUAGCUCAGUUGGCCAGAGCAGCCGCCUUGUAAGCGGCAGGUCGUCAGUUCGAACCUGACAGGAGGCUCCA
rnacentral:tRNA from 3 species